GUUUUCUUGAAGUAAUGUUUUUCCAGAACAGACCGCGCAGGGGAGGAAGCAGCCAGGCUGGAGACUUGCGUGCUUGGGAACAAAAGUGCAACAUGUGCCCUUUGGCCCACAGACUUAGCAGACUGUGCGGAUCGGGCCAGACAGACCACCGCGGAGUCUCGCGGCUCGACCCAGCUCCUGCGAUUGUGAGAAGGCAGAGCUGACACUGAGGCCGUCUGGCAGCAGGGACAGCCCUGGAACGUGGCCACAGCAGGCAGAGAAGGGACAGAAGUUGAAGGAGGGAGCUCAGCCCACUGUCAGGAGGCUCCAAACUGGGUGGCUGCAGGUGCCUUGGCAGCACACACAGGAAGUUAAAAUAAAGCCAAGGAAAUUGGGCAACUUCAGUCGUAAAGUUGGGGAAGGAACCCGAGAUAAAGUGGAUGCUGGAACUGAGUUAACAUUUAACUCUAAUUUCUCGGACGCUGAGGGUUUUCUAAAAGUGCCAAUUCUUGCUCGAAAAAAGAAAAAAAAGAAAAAGUGCAGAGCAGCUCCUCAGGACACUCUGUUCAGGAGUCAGUGUCUGAACGUUCGGCCAGGAAAUGACACGACAGUCAAUGUCCCAAAGCGGGAGCACUUGUCUCAGGAGAAAAGGCUUCUUCACGUGGACAUGGUUGGUGUCUUUGCCUAAGAAAGUCUUGGGCAUGAUGGCCAGUCCUCCACGGGCAGCGCAGCUGUCGGCAGCUGGACAGGGCCCAGCAAGCUGGGAGACGGAUCCCGGGCAGGACCCUCGGGCCUGCUGUGCUUUCGCUGGGACAGGGUGGUGCCCAGAGCGGGCGAGGACCUGUCCUCUGAGUUGUUGAUUGACACCAGAUCCUCGUGCCCCCGACGGAGUGAAAUGCUCCCAGGCUGCGCUCUGGUCCUGUCAGGGCUUCGA